rnacentral:rRNA from 1 species
GACGAACGCUGGCGGCGUGCUUAACACAUGCAAGUCGAACGGAAAGGCCCUGCUUUUGUGGGGGGCUCGAGAGGCGAACGGGUGAGUAACAAGUGAGUAACCUGCCCCUUACUUUCGGAUAACUUUUGGAAAAUGCGGCUAAUAUCGGGUAGGAGCUCCUGCUGCAUGGUGUGCGUUGGAAAGUUUCGGCGGUUGUGGAUGGACUCGCGGCUUAUCAGCUUGUUGGUGUGGUAGUGGCUUACCAAGGCUUUGACGGGUAGCCGGCCUGAGAGGGUGACCGGCCACAUUGCGACUGAGGUAGGGACCAGACUCCUACGGGAGGCAGCAGUGGGGAACAUUGCACAAUGGGCGGAAGCCUGAGGCAGCAACGCCGCGUGCGGGAUGACGGCCUUCUGGUUGUAAACCGCUUUCGCCUGUGACGAAGCGUGAGUGACGGUAAUGGGUAAAGAAGCACCGGCUAACUACGUG